CUUUUGUAAUUAGCGAUUUUUAAUACCCCGCUAGGGACAAUUGACUUUCAGAUUUUUUGUAAGCAAGCUAAAAUUUUAAAACCAUUGUUAGGUAAUCGUUCUUUGGUGUAAAUAUGUCGUUAUUUAGUGAUGCAGUAAGCAAGCCUUGAAAGACAUAAGGUGAAUUCUAGGGAUUAGCGUAGCAUAUGUCCCAUUUCAUGAUUAGGGACUGCUAUUUACAAUCUAAUUAGUUCACAAUCAGUUUACAAUCUAAUCAGUUUACAAUUUAAUUAGUUCAGAAUUAUAUUGAUUUAUUGUGAAAUUUAGUUUAGGGCCUAUAAGAAAAAAAAAUUUUGCACCUGAACUCAAGGUUUUAGUGACACUAUAAACUCCAUUGUUCUGAAACCGUUAAAAGAUACUUAUUCAUUUAUUUGAAUUACAUCUUGGCAGAAACUUGACGCUAGCCGAUAGUGCGCCUCUAGUCUCACAGGCCGCGAUGCCUCUCCGACGCCUCUGAAAGCCGUGUGCCACGAACAUGCCCGCGCGUGCAACAUGGUGCAACGAGUGUGAGUGCACCGAACGACCUGCAGCUAGCACCGGAUAUCAAGAAUGGAACCCAAAGGGGUUUUUUUUUUUUUUCAAUAUACUGAUGGUGUUAAUGGCAUCAAAAUUGAUUAUUUUGGAGAGCCAUUUUCAGUGGAGAAGAGGGUAGCCUUACAAUGUGCUCAAGGUCCACAAUAUUAUCGUUCCAAGAAGACUUCUGCUCAACUGGUAUAGUGUUGACGUCGUCCGGCCGAAGGCCACCCUAAAGCCCGACCUGCAACCGCCAGUAUCCGACCCCGCUAACGGAACGCACCCCUAGCCAUGGCCCACCCGAGUCAGGCGAGCGCCGCGGAACUUAGUAACAAGCUACCAGGUGAACCAGGCUUAGGGAUCAGGAUGCAAGGUCGGUGUAGCGGAGGUGCAGAACUGCACUAUUGAAGGAAGGAGAAAUUACACUUGGAGAAGAAUGAAAAUGAUGUGUUGAUAUGAAAAUAACAAAUUGUGCUACACACUGGCCCCUUGCUCGAGUUAUCAUUCGUUAAAGAAUAUAUAACAUAAAUAAAUAAGAAUCACCACAUUCCAUUUUAUUUACAUAUUCUGUAAUGGUUUCGUACUUUUAUAGUAUUGUCAUCUCAAGUGUUUCCAAAUCAGUAGUACAGUAUCUCUAACACUUGUAAUAAUUCAUAUUGGCUUGUUACAUAUUGUUACGCAUAAUCGUGAGAAAAAAACUGUACA